CCUACGGGUGGCAGCAGUGGGGGAUAUUGCACAAUGGGGGAAACCCUGAUGCAGCGACGCCGCGUGAAGGACGAAGUAUUUCGGUAUGUAAAGCUCUAUCAGCAGGGAAGAAAAAGAUGACAGUACAUCAAGAAGCAGCCGCUGCUAACUACGUGCCAGCAGCCGCGGUAAUACGUAGGGGGCAAGCGUUAUCCGGAUUUACUGGGUGUAAAGGGGGCGUAGACGGCCAUACAAGUCAGAAGUGAAAGCCCAGGGCUCAACCCUGGGACUGCUUUUGAAACUGCCCGGCUGGAGUGCAGGAGAGGUAAGCGGAAUUCCUAGUGUAGCGGUGAAAUGCGUAGAUAUUAGGAGGAACACCAGUGGCGAAGGCGGCUUACUGGACUGUAACUGACGUUGAGGCUCGAAAGCGUGGGGAGCAAACAGGAUUAGAUACCCGAGUAGUC
rnacentral:rRNA from 1 species